rnacentral:rRNA from 1 species
CGAACGGGAUGCUUAGGCAUCUAGUGGCGGACGGGUGAGUAACGCGUGAGAAUCUGGCUCCAGGUCGGGGAUAACAGUUGGAAACGACUGCUAAUACCGGAUGUGCCGAAAGGUGAAAGAUUUAUUGCCUGGAGAUGAGCUCGCGUCUGAUUAGCUAGUUGGUGGUGUAAGGGACCACCAAGGCGUCGAUCAGUAGCUGGUCUGAGAGGAUGAUCAGCCACACUGGGACUGAGACACGGCCCAGACUCCUACGGGAGGCAGCAGUGGGGAAUUUUCCGCAAUGGGCGAAAGCCUGACGGAGCAAUACCGCGUGAGGGAGGAAGGCUCUUGGGUCGUAAACCUCUUUUCUCAAGGAAGAAGAAAGUGACGGUACUUGAGGAAUAAGCAUCGGCUAACUCCGUGCCAGCAGCCGCGGUAAUACGGAGGAUGCAAGCGUUAUCCGGAAUGAUUGGGCGUAAAGGGUCUGCAGGUGGAACUGAAAGUCUGCUGUUAAAGAGUUUGGCUUAACCAAAUAAAAGCGGUGGAAACUACAGAACUAGAGUGUGGUAGGGGCAAAAGGAAUUCCUGGUGUAGCGGUGAAAUGCGUAGAUAUCAGGAAGAACACCGGUGGCGAAAGCGUUUUGCUAGACCAUAACUGACACUGAGGGACGAAAGCUAGGGGAGCGAAUGGGAUUAGAUACCCCAGUAGUCCUAGCCGUAAACGAUGGAUACUAGGCGUGGCUUGUAUCGACCCGAGCCGUGCCGGAGCUAACGCGUUAAGUAUCCCGCCUGGGGAGUACGCACGCAAGUGUGAAACUCAAAGGAAUUGACGGGGGCCCGCACAAGCGGUGGAGUAUGUGGUUUAAUUCGAUGCAACGCGAAGAACCUUACCAAGACUUGACAUCCUGCGAAUCCUGGUGAAAGCUGGGAGUGCCUUCGGGAGCGCAGAGACAGGUGGUGCAUGGCUGUCGUCAGCUCGUGUCGUGAGAUGUGGGUUAAGUCCCGCAACGAGCGCAACCCUCGUUUUUAGUUGCCAGCAUUAAGUGGGCACUCUAGAGAGACUGCCGGUGACAAACCGGAGGAAGGUGAGGAUGACGUCAAGUCAGCAUGCCCCUUACGUCUUGGGCUACACACGUACUACAAUGCUACGGACAGAGGGCAGCGAGCCAGGGAUGGCAAGCGAAUCCAGAAACCGUAGCUCAGUUCAGAUCGAAGGCUGCAACUCGCCUUCGUGAAGGAGGAAUCGCUAGUAAUUGCAGGUCAGCAUACUGCAGUGAAUUCGUUCCCGGGCCUUGUACACACCGCCCGUCACACCAUGGAAGUUGGUCACGCCCGAAGUCAUUACCCCAACCGAAAGGAGGGGGAUGCCUAAGGUAGGACUGGUGACUGGGGUGAAGUCGUAACAAGGUAGCCGUACCGGAAGGUGUGGCUGGAUCACCUCCUUU